UAACUCCGGUUAAACUUCUGACGCUGACACUCAUUACAUUAGAAGCAACUCUGUGAUACAUCGCGCAAUAUUGGCAGUUGAUAGUUGGUCUGUUCGUUAUUUAUUUGUAUGAUUGUGCUGUUGUUACGUUGAUUAAAAUUGAAAAGAAACAUUUGCAA